UACGUAGGGGGCGAGCGUUGUCCGGAUUUACUGGGCGUAAAGCGUGCGCAGGCGGCCCGUUAAGACAGGUGUGAAAUCCCUGGGCUCAACCUAGGAAUUGCGCUUGUGACUGGCGGGCUCGAGUACGGUAGAGGGGGGUGGAAUUCCUGGUGUAGCAGUGAAAUGCGUAGAGAUCAGGAGGAACACCGAUGGCGAAGGCAGCCCCCUGGGCCUGUACUGACGCUCAUGCACGAAAGCGUGGGGAGCAAACAGG
rnacentral:rRNA from 1 species